rnacentral:lncRNA from 1 species
UAAAUUAGAGUCGUCUUCCUCUUUACCUUUUCAUCAUCUUCAAACCAGUAAAACUUCGGAGAUUCAAAAUUUGUACAUCGACGGCUUCUUCAACGACAAAAUUAUUGGCUUUGUUUUUAGUAUUGAGAGAAAUCAAGAAAAAGGAGUACUAAAAUUAACUGUAAAUGCUUAUAGCAACAUACCCGCCACCGUCGCUGUAUUGCAAGCUCUAUACGGACCAUCUACAGUAUCCCAACUCUGUUCUCGAGCCACUGCCCCCAAUCCCAGGUACCUAUGUUCUCUACGUUGCAAAUUACACUAACCUUAAUUAUCAAUUUUUAUUUGCAUUUUUCGUGUUGUGCUUUUGUAUGUAAGUUCCCAGAUGAAAGUUAGCUUUCUUAUACUAUAUUUGUGAAUUAGCAUUCCAGUAUGGUGACAGUCAAAAGGGUCUUUAAUCUUUCACCGGUUUUUCUUUUUAUUAAUUAUGGUUUUGAAUUGAGGAUGAGGUUGAAUAAAUAAUGGUGAAGGAAAGAAAGAAAUUUGUCCUUACUAAUUCAGCAAUUUCACUUUUAAAUUUUGAUUUGUUAGGAGAAACUCAUAAUUUUUUCAUGAUUGUCAUGUAUUGAAAACAUUUCAAUUAAAAUCUAGAGUGUAUAGUUCUCUAUAAAUUGUUAUUUAUUGCUUUGGAACUAAAUAAAUCAAUCCAUAUUGUAAAAAUUUAGUUGGCAAAAAUUUAUUCAUUUUCUUUUGAGUUAUGUAAAAUGAUAACCUUGUUUUAAACUUUUUAUGCAGAUUGAUGAUGUGCUUCCUACGCCUGAAGAGCAGAGUGUCCAUCAAUUGUACCCAAAAGGGCCAAAUGUUGGUAUGAUUUGCAUAUUGCUUCACUUUUUGACAAUGUUUUUGAAUGCGAAGGCUAUUGAAUCAGCCAUUAUACCACUUUAUUGCCAUCAGUAAACAUUUUAGUAUGAAAUUUUCAAGCAGUGUGUUGGCCUUUUGCUUUACUGCUAUUUGAUGAUCACUUGUACCUGUGGAGGUUCAAUAUAUGUUAGCUUGCACAUUUUUCUCCAUUUAUGUUGGAGUUUGUAAGUAAUUCACUCGGUUUCAUCUAACAACAAAAGCUCUCAAGAUGCAAUUGGCUUCUAUAUAGUUGUGGUUUUCACUACUUCUAUAGAUUAUCAGAAAGUAAUCUUUUGUUGAACUACAUAGUAUUUUCCUUGCUCUUUUAAGGGUUAUUAUUAGAUAGGCAAUAUGGGAGUCUUGUAAUUCUUGAUGGAUACACUUAUCCAUUACAUUGAAG